ACAGCCUGAGCGUCAUAAACCGCAUGUUGAUGGUAACAGGAGGCAGACAGGUUCCUGGGCGGGAAGGGGCGGGUCCCCAGUGAAACCCCACCUUCAAGCGAGGGAUGGCCUGAAGCCUGCAGGCCGAACUGUCAGUUCCUUGUGGAGUCCAGGACCCAGAGUGAGAACUUCACUGAUGCCUUUCGGCCAAUCGGAUGGUGCUUUUUCCAGGCCCACCCAUGACCGCCCAUGGACCAAUCAGCAUGCACUUCCUCUAUUCUGAGUCCAUAAAAAUCCCUGGAUUCGUACACACACUCUUCGGGAUGACCUGCCUAUGCCAUGAAGCUGAGGAUUGGUAGCCCUUUUAGAGGAACACGUGCUUCCAGACCAGGUUGGAGUGCAGCAGCAUGGUCCCGGCUCACUGCAGUCUUAACCUUCCCUGGCUCAAGUGAUUCUCCUGCUUCAGGUUCCCGAGUAGCUAGGACUACAGCUCAACAAGACUGCAGCUCACUGCUUGAGUUCCACCUUCCUAAACCAGGGUGGAAAAUGUUCCUAAG
rnacentral:lncRNA from 10 species